rnacentral:rRNA from 1 species
CAUGUCCUUUUGAAGAUAAUUUAAGGUUUAAUCUGCUCAAUGAUAUUUAAAUUGCCGCAGUAUUUUGACUGUGCAAAGGUAGCAUAAUAAUUAGUUUCUUAAUUAGAAACUGGAAUGAAUGAUUGGACAAGAAAAUUUCUGUCUCUUUUUUAAAUUUUUUGAAUUUUAUUUUUAAGUGAAAAAGCUUAAAUGUUUAUAAAAGACGAUAAGACCCUAUAGAGUUUGAUAGUUAAUAAUUAUUUAAUUUUAGAAACUAAUUUUAUUAUUAUUUAUUUGGUUGGGGUGAUUUAAAGAUUUGAAAAAUUCUUUAACAUUUUAAUUGGUGAUUUCUAAAUUGUAAAUCUAUUUUUUUAUAAAAAUAAAAUAAAUUACCUUAGGGAUAACAGCGUAAUUUUUCUUUAAAGUUCUUAUUGAAAGAAAAGUUUGCGACCUCGAUGUUGGAUUAAAAUUAAUUUUUGGUGCAGUAACUUAAAAAUUAGGUCUGUUCGACCUUUAAAAUU